rnacentral:rRNA from 1 species
UACGUAGGGUGCGAGCGUUGUCCGGAUUUAUUGGGCGUAAAGAGCUUGUAGGCGGCUCGUCACGUCGGGUGUGAAAACCCGCGGCUCAACUGUGGGCGGGCAGCUGAUACGGGCAGGCUGGAGUUCGGUAGGGGAGACUGGAAUUCCUGGUGUAGCGGUGAAAUGCGCAGAUAUCAGGAGGAACACCGGUGGCGAAGGCGGGUCUCUGGGCCGAUACUGACGCUGAGGAGCGAAAGCGUGGGGAGCGAACAGG